rnacentral:lncRNA from 1 species
UCACAAGUGCAAAAAUGCAAGAGUGACUCUGGGUUUACCUUUUAUCUGUUGUAGGUGGGCUUUGCCUGUGGUUUUAAAGUCCACAACCUGUAGUCCCGGGAUGGACCGUAGCCAGUGCUCCCUGCAGUGCCUGAGCCGUCUGUGCAAAGGAUGGAUUGAUCCCCCCUACUCAUCUCCCACAGGCUGGAUGAAGAGGACAUUUGGCUGAUUGUUUUCCUGUUGGUAAGCAGUUGUGGGAGGAGAUAAUACCUUACCCCUGCAAAGUUACUGGUGCUGGAAAUCUGAUCCUGUCUCUGCGACGGGAUAUGCUGGCAAGGCAAGUACAUUGAGAGAUCCCAUAUUGGGCAGCAUGGCAUUUCUUUCACUUUGAAUAA